rnacentral:rRNA from 1 species
GUGCCAGCAGCCGCGGUAAUACGGAGGGAGCUAGCGUUGUUCGGAAUUACUGGGCGUAAAGCGCACGUAGGCGGCGAUUUAAGUCAGAGGUGAAAGCCCGGGGCUCAACCCCGGAACUGCCUUUGAGACUGGAUUGCUUGAAUCCUGGAGAGGUGAGUGGAAUUCCGAGUGUAGAGGUGAAAUUCGUAGAUAUUCGGAAGAACACCAGUGGCGAAGGCGGCUCACUGGACAGGUAUUGACGCUGUGGUGCGAAAGCGUGGGGAGCAAACAGGAUUAGAUACCCGGGUAGUCC